rnacentral:lncRNA from 1 species
UAUCGUAACACCAACAGUUAAAAUGAUUUACAUUAAGCAUUAAUACUUAUGGAACAGUAUACAAAACUUAAAACAUAUAAAGUGCAUAGUUCCGUUCAUCCAAAAACCUUGCAUCUAAUCCUUAAUCCUGGGCCCUGGUCAAAGUGGCACUUGGUCAAAAAAAAAAAAAAAAGAAAAGGUUGGGAACCACUGGAUUAGAUUAAGCUGGUUAACCAGUUAAAAUUCAUGGGUAAAUUAGGAGGGUUUUUUUUUACCUGAAAAAAAUCGGGGGGGGGGGGGAGAGAUUGAACCCCUAGUCCGCCCCCUCUCCCUGGGGGCUUGAUAGAGGAGGGGGAGGAAGCGAAGAAAGAAGAGGAGGCGGCUGCAACCUUGCAACCUCCCUCCCUCCCUCCCUCCCUCCUUGGUGGCCACUUGGCAACUGGCUGCGUCUUCAGCCUCUGUUCGGAGGAAGGAGGGGAGGAGGGAGGGGAGGGGGCGGGCUGCUGUUCCUGAUUGACAGCCAGCCCCAAGCGCCUCCCCUCCGCCGCCCAAUACAGAGGCAAGGGGAAGGAGAGCCCUCCUCUUUCUCCCCCUCCUUCCCUCCCUCCUUCCCUUCCCGCUCUUCUCCCCGCGCCGCUUUGCCAGAGGAGCGCCGGCUGGGCAUGGCUGGGGUCUGCUGCUGCUGCUGCUGCGGGGCUCUGGAGCAGAGGGCGAAGGAGCAGGUUUCGCUCGUCUCUUAAACCUGCUGAGAGGCUUUGGAAUAUCUCUAAUAGAGGUAAGAUCACUCCAAUUAUUGUUAUUGUUGAGUGCUUUUCUCUAUGGAAAAUUCUUAUUUUGACAAUUCAUUUUUGUUGGAAUACAGAUCUAAAUAUCCCAAAGUUGCCAGACCCCAUCUGAUUUUGGGUAUGGUCAUGGUUUUUGAAAUGUGCUAUGAUUUGAAAAUAUGAUGCUCCUCUGCAUCCACGCUCACUAAGGGUGCACUGUAGAAUUAAUGCAUUUUGAUACCUCUUUAACUGCAAUGGCUUAAUGCUAUGGAAUCCUGGGAUUUAUAGUUUUACAAUGCCUUUAACCUUCUGUGGUAGAGUCCUAGGGCCUCAUCAAACUACAAAUCCCAGAAUUCCAUAGCAUUGAACCAUUGCAGUUAGUAAUAUGAAAUUGCAUUGAUUCAACAGGGUAGAUGCACCGUCUUUCCUACUCUGAGGUUCCUUUGGUUCUGCUAUCCCUGUCUCUGUAGUCAAUAUGGACAGCUAAAAUCAGAUUGGGGCAAUAGUCAUAUAGGAAUGUGUCCUUCCUCUUUUGGAACUAUUUGAGUUCUGAGAAGUGGGCAGUGGGUGUGGGAAGAGAGGAUUUUACAGUGAAGUCAUCCUGUGAAUAAGCAUUAGUCUGGAAUUGGGAAGUGCUCAUUAAACACUCUUGGGAACACACUGCUGUGGAAAAGACUGAUUGGUCUAAGUGACAUAAGGGACAUUGGAUCCAGAGAUAAUUAAAACACAUACCAUGUAAACAAUAAUUGUUUGCACAGUUGGAAGUCCUAUGGCUGGAUGUCUUAUAAGAAGAUCAGUCUGCAUCUCAUCUCUCAAAGUAUAAGUAGAGUCAAGAGAUUCAAAAGACAGAGCUACAUUAUUUUGAAAUAUUGGUAGGCAAACACAUCUUGUAACAGUUCAGAGAAUUUGGUAGCAUAAACCUUCGUAGAUUAAACUACGGUCCAGAAACUGCAGUUGGCAGCUAGGUUACUAACGAGCUGCUUACAGGGAGCGGUCAACCCCCUGUUCAAGCAGCUCCACUGGCUGCCGAUAAUAUUCCGGGCCCAAUUUAAGGUGCAGGUUAUUACCUAUAAAGCUCUAAACGGUUCGGGACCUGCCUAUCUCCGUGACCGCGUCGUCCCCUAUGAACCCACCCGAUUGCUGAGGUCUUCCGGGGAGGCCCUCCUCUCACUUCCGCCCUCCUCACAACUGCGUUUGGUGGGGACAAGAGAGAGGGCCUUCUCGGCCGUGGCCUCCCAACUCUGGAACUCCCUCCCCAGGGAGAUUAGGUUGGCUCCCUCUAUAUCUUCCUUCAGGAAACAACUGAAGACUUGGAUGUUUUGGCAGGCCUUCGGAGAUACAGUCAUUAAUUAAUCAGCCCCAAAGGGUUUUUAAUAAUCUAUCCUGUAUUUAUAACGGUCUUACCAUUUAUGUGUUUUAAAUGUAAUGUUUUUAUCCUGUAUUGUUGUUUUAAUUGAUAUAUUACUGUUUUAUCUUUUUUAUAUUGUGAUUUGUACUAUGUUGCUUAUAUUUUGUUCUUACGUUGUUUGGACCGUUGUCCCAUGUAAGCCGCCCUGAGUCCCCGCGGGGAGAUGGUGGCGGGGUAUAAAUAAAGUUUUUUAUUAUUAUUAUUAUUAUUAUUAUUAUUAUUAUUAUUAUUAUUAUUAGAUUAAGUACCUUCACUCCAUGCAUCUGAAAAUGCUGAAUAUUGAAGUAUUUCUACAGUUCUUUGUAGAACUAUUUUGUGGUUUAAAGCUUAUCCCAAAACAUUGUGUUGUGUAGCAGUUUUUAUGUCUUUGGAGUUUCAGUCUUGAACCGGAUAGGGGAGGAAGAAAGAGGAUCAAGGGACUUUCUUGGUUCUGGCUUACUGUACAGCUUCUUAAAAGAAAUCUGUUUGCCCUUCUUUCUCAGGUUUCAGGAGGAUAACAUUCUGCUCUACCUUUAUUUUCCAAUCCUAUUCUCACUAACUAGAAAAUAAAUUCCGUGAACCCAGUGGGGCCAGGGAUUACAUUUGAGCACGCAUUAUAGGAUUGUACUGUUAAUCUGUUUUAACUUCCUGCUGUGGCAGUGUAUUUUGAAAAUGAUCCAGGUAUUUUAUUCUCUUCUUCCCUCUUGAUCUGUCCUUUUAAUGAUAUGCACAAUCCUACUCAAACAUAACCACCGAGUACAGUCAUAUUUAUUCAGUUCAGUCUUAAUUGAAGUGUGUGUGUGUUUUAUUUUUGUAGUUUUGCAUUUUUAAGUCAUGAUUGCUUUUGUAAGUCUUUGUGUCAGGAGGGUGUCCGAAGAGUGAAAUAGAAUGUUUCUCAAAUGAAUUGAAUAAAUUACAGAAAAUCAUCUCUCCUUCUCUGCCCUUGCUGCAUGUAUACACAGUAUGUCUGGCACUGCAGCAUUUGUUGCUCCACCCUGGUUUUCUUAUGCCUUCAUCUAAAAUCUCAAGGGAAGGAUGAAUAGC